rnacentral:rRNA from 1 species
UACGGAGGGAGCUAGCGUUGUUCGGAAUUACUGGGCGUAAAGCGCGCGUAGGCGGCUUUGUAAGUUAGAGGUGAAAGCCCGGAGCUCAACUCCGGAACUGCCUUUAAAACUGCAUCGCUUGAAUCCAGGAGAGGUGAGUGGAAUUCCGAGUGUAGAGGUGAAAUUCGUAGAUAUUCGCAAGAACACCAGUGGCGAAGGCGGCUCACUGGCCCGGUACUGACGCUGAGGUGCGAAAGCGUGGGGGAGCAAACAGG